rnacentral:rRNA from 1 species
UACGUAGGGAGCGAGCGUUAUCCGGAAUUAUUGGGCGUAAAGGGUGCGUAGAUGGUUGAUAUAAGUCUUUUGUAAAAAUGCUAGGCUCAACCUAGUAGGGCAAAAGAUACUGAUGAACUAGAGUACGGCAGAGGCAAGUGGAACUACAUGUGUAGCGGUAAAAUGCGUAAAUAUAUGUAAGAACACCGGUGGCGAAGGCAGCUUACCAAUCUAUAUCUGACGUUGAGGCACGAAAGCGUGGGGAGCAAACAGG